UCUACUUGUACUUUCGGUUAAACACAGGGGCAGGUAAACCUCAUGCAAAUAAGCACAAGUGUUGUGCCGUGCAGUGAUGUGGAAAAUGGUGCCAAAGGUUGGAGAAGAUUUCAUGAAAAGCGUCCCUGUGAAAAGCUCCGACACGGGUGGAUGGACACACACACACACACACACACACACGCAGAGGACCCUGUAAAGACUUUUCAGCAGGACUGACCAGUCGCAUUUGUCCAGUGCAUGCAAUCACGUCCAUAGAAACGACACACAGAGUUCAUGAAUGCUUCACGAGUUGAGAUCAUGGACACACACACACACACACACACGUGCUGCAUUUCCACUAAAUCAGAUGUUCUUCUUCUGACGCCUCUCAGCCUCGUUUCCCAAACUCUAAUAGAACAUCAGAAACACUACAGAUUUUAAAAAGCAUCCUUGCGGAUUUUAGAUAUGCCUCGUAAUAUUACGAGCUACUUCCAUACAGUAAGAUGUUUUAAAAAGUGCAAUGCAAGAACUCUUGUUGUAUUUCUCUAUGGUUAGGUUUAUUUCUAGUGCUGUUUGGAGAUUUCUAGACUUAGAUAGCUAUAUUCUGUUCAAGCAUUUGUAUGAUUUUCUUCCUCUCUUGACUCUUGUUUAUC